UUUUUGAUAAUAAUUUAAAGUCUAAUCUGCCCACUGAUAAAAUAUUAAAGGGCUGCAGUAAUUUGACUGUACAAAGGUAGCAUAAUCAAUAGUCUUUUAAUUGAUGACUUGUAUGAAAGAUUUGAUGAAAUAUAAACUGUCUCUUAAAAAUUUUUAUAAUUUAAUUUUUUAGUUAAAAAGCUAAAAUAUUUUUAAAAGACGAGAAGACCCUAUAGAGUUUUAUAAUUUUUAUAUUUAAAUUUUUUUAUUAGUAUUAAAAUUAUAAAAAUAAAAAUUAUUUUAUUGGGGUGAUAGAAAAAUUUAAAAAACUUUUUUUAAAAAUUUUACAUUAAUAUAUGAUUAAAUGAUCCGUAAUUUACGAUUAAAAGAAAAAAUUACCUUAGGGAUAACAGCGUAAUUUUUUUUUUUAGUUCAAAUAAGAAAAAGAGUUUGCGACCUCGAUGUUGGAUUAAGAUAAAAUUUAAAUGCAAA
rnacentral:rRNA from 1 species